CCUGAACGCUGGCGGCGUGGCUAAGACAUGCAAGUCGAACGGGUGUAGCAAUACACCAGUGGCGGACGGGUGAGUAAUGUAUCGCUAACGUACCGCGGAGCCUGGGAUAGCCGGUCGAAAGGCCGGGUAAUACCAGAUGAGACCACGGGUGGGCAUCCACCAGUGCUCAAAGCCGCAAGGCACUCUGUGAGCGGGCGAUAUCGUAUCAGCUAGUUGGUGAGGAACGGCUUACCAAGGCGACGACGCGUAGCUGGUCUGAGAGGACGGCCAGCCACAUUGGGACUGAGACACUGCCCAGACUCCUACGGGGGCUGCAGUAACGAAUCUUCCGCAAUGCACGAAAGUGUGACGGAGCGACGCCGCGUGGAGGACG
rnacentral:rRNA from 1 species